GUCCGCGCUGGCAGAAGGUGCGCGCGGAGUACCGCUCCGUCGGCCGCCACGUCGAGGUCGACCUGAUCGUGACCGGCGCGGACG
rnacentral:tRNA from 2 species